GAUGAACGCUGGCGGCUUGCCUAAUACAUGCAAUUCGAGCGAACAGACGAGGAGCUUGCUCCUUUGCCGUUAGCGUCGGACGGGUGGGUAACCCGUAGUUAACCUACCUCUACGACUGGGUUAACUUCGGGCAACCGGAGCUAAUACCGGAUAAUAUUUCGAACCGCAUGGUUCGAUAGUGAAAGAUGGCUUUGCUAUCACUUCUUGCUGUACCUUCGACGUAUUAUCUAGUUGGUAAGUUAACGGCUUACCAAGGCAACGAUACGUAGCCGACCUGAGAGGGUGAUCGGCCACACGGGAACGGAGACACGGUCCAGACUACGACGGGAGGCAGCAGUAGGGAAUAUUCCGCAAUGAGCGAAAGCAGGACGGAGCAACGCCGCGUGAGUGAUGAAGGACUUCGGAUAGGAAAAAUCUGUUAUUAGGGAAGAACAAACGUGUAAGUAACGGUGCACGGCUUGACGGUACCUAAGCAGAAAGACACGGAUAACUACGUG
rnacentral:rRNA from 1 species